rnacentral:rRNA from 1 species
AUACAGCGAAACUGCGAAUGGCUCAUUAUAUAAGUUAUCGUUUAUUUGAUAGUACCUUACUACUUGGAUAACCGUGGUAAUUCUAGAGCUAAUACAUGCUAAAAAUCCCGACUUCGGAAGGGAUGUAUUUAUUAGAUUAAAAACCAAUGCCCUCUGGGCUCCUUGGUGAUUCAUGAUAACUUCUCGAAUCGCACGGCCUUGCGCCGGCGAUGGUUCAUUCAAAUUUCUUCCCUAUCAACUUUCGAUGUUUGGGUAGUGGCCAAACAUGGUUGCAACGGGUAACGGAGGGUUAGGGCUCGACCCCGGAGAAGGAGCCUGAGAAACGGCUACUACAUCCAAGGAAGGCAGCAGGCGCGCAAAUUACCCAAUCCCGAUUCGGGGAGGUAGUGACAAUAAAUACUGAUACAGGGCUCUUUUGGGUCUUGUAAUUGGAAUGAGUACAAUUUAAAUCCCUUAACGAGGAACAAUUGGAGGGCAAGUCUGGUGCCAGCAGCCGCGGUAAUUCCAGCUCCAAUAGCGUAUAUUAAAGUUGUUGUGGUUAAAAAGCUCGUAGUUGAACCUUGGGCCUGGCUGGCCGGUCCGCCUCACCGCGUGUACUGGUCCGGCCGGGCCUUUCCCUCUGUGGAACCCCAUGCCCUUCACUGGGCGUGGCGGGGAAACAGGACUUUUACUUUGAAAAAAUUAGAGUGCUCCAGGCAGGCCUAUGCUCGAAUACAUUAGCAUGGAAUAAUGAAAUAGGACGUGCGGUUCUAUUUUGUUGGUUUCUAGGACCGCCGUAAUGAUUAAUAGGGACAGUCGGGGGCAUCAGUAUUCAAUUGUCAGAGGUGAAAUUCUUGGAUUUAUUGAAGACUAACUACUGCGAAAGCAUUUGCCAAGGAUGUUUUCAUUAAUCAGGAACGAAAGUUAGGGGAUCGAAGACGAUCAGAUACCGUCGUAGUCUUAACCAUAAACUAUGCCGACUAGGGAUCGGACGAUGUUAAAUUUUGACUCGUUCGGCACCUUACGAGAAAUCAAAGUGCUUGGGCUCCAGGGGGAGUAUGGUCGCAAGGCUGAAACUUAAAGAAAUUGACGGAAGGGCACCACCAGGGGUGGAGCCUGCGGCUUAAUUUGACUCAACACGGGGAAACUCACCAGGUCCAGACACAAUGAGGAUUGACAGAUUGAGAGCUCUUUCUUGAUUUUGUGGGUGGUGGUGCAUGGCCGUUCUUAGUUGGUGGAGUGAUUUGUCUGCUUAAUUGCGAUAACGAACGAGACCUUAACCUGCUAAAUAGCCCGUAUUGCUUUGGCAGUACGCCGGCUU